CCUCAGCUGAUACAACAGGAACAUUUAUAUACUCUCUCUCUCUCUCUCUCUCUGUGUGUGUGUGUGUGUGUGUGUGUGAGAGAGAGAGAGAGAGAGAGAGAGAGAGAGAGAGAGAGUCCUCUUAAUAGACUCCA